rnacentral:rRNA from 1 species
UACGUAGGGGGCUAGCGUUGUCCGGAAUCAUUGGGCGUAAAGCGCGUGUAGGCGGUCCGGUAAGUCCGCUGUGAAAGUCGGGGGCUCAACCCUCGAAUGCCGGUGGAUACUGUCGGGCUAGAGUGCGGAAGAGGCGAGUGGAAUUCCUGGUGUAGCGGUGAAAUGCGCAGAUAUCAGGAAGAACACCCGUGGCUAAGGCGGCUCUCUAGUACGGUACUGACGCUGAGACGCGAAAGCGUGGGGAGCGAACAGG